rfam:TPA: Bos taurus chromosome 2, whole genome shotgun sequence.
UCCCUGGUGGUCCAGUGGUUAGGACUCUGCAUUUCCACUGCAGAGGACAAGGGUUCAAUCCCUGGUCAGAAAA